GGAUGCUAUCAUACCAGCACUAAUGCACCGGAUCCCAUCAGAACUCCGCAGUUAAGCGUGCUUGGGGGAGAGUAGUACUAGGAUGGGUGACCUCCCGGAAAGUCCUCGUGUUGCAUCCC
rnacentral:rRNA from 2 species